rnacentral:lncRNA from 1 species
GGAAUGGCAGUUAGGGCAACUGGAAGGCUGGGAGCUGAAAUCACCUGAAGUCUCAUUCACUCACAUGUCUGAUGGUUGAUAUUGUCUAUCAGAAAUUACCCAGUCUCGAUUCCUGGGCAAGAUGGCCGAAUAGGAACAGCUCCAGUCUGCAGCUCCUAGCAAGAUCAAUGCAGAAGGCAGGUGAUUUCUGCAUUUCCAACUGAGGUACCCUGCUCAUCUCAUUGGGACUGGUUAGACAAUGGGUGCAGCCCACAGAGGGGGAGCAGAAGCAGGAUGGGGCGUCACCUCAUCCAGGAAGUGCAAGGGGUUGGGGAACUCCCUCCCCUAACCAAGAGAAGCCAUGAAGGACUGUGCCUUGAUGAACAGUGCAUUCUGGCCCAGAUGCUAUGCUUUUCUUACAGUCUUGGCAACCCACACACCAGGAAAUUCCUUCGGGAGAAAUACUAACUACUUUUGACACAUCUGGCUUAUCACAGAAGAACUCAUGAUUUACCAAUUGUUUUCCUUUGGUUUCAUCAGUUUCCUCUUUGUGCAGUGUUAUGCCUCAUCAUACAAGAAUGUCAUGUUUCCCCAUUAUGUUAGUGUAUACAAGAUGAAGAAAAUAUGUUUUCCAAGUAACAUUCUGAACAUAAAGUACAUAUUUUCCAUCACUUCUAAUUUAGAGCACAACAGUUUCUUUCUGGUUUCUAACAGGACACAAACUAAAUAUAAAAUUUGAAGAACACCAUAAUUGCAAUGAUAUAUAAAAUGCUAUUUGUGUAAAUACUAAUAACCAUACAUUUUUCUUAUUCACAUGUCAAUGUGUGGUUUUCAUAUACGUUACAUAUUUUUAAAAGGUCUUAAUGAUGUGAUGUAUCUGAUUACUUAGAGUGGCAGAGGCACUCUUCACUGGUUACUAAUUACUGCUCUAUCAGGGUUUCUAAUCAUUUUUGAAUCACAGAUAAGCUUGAGAACCUGAUGAAAAUCAUGCCCCAUGUUUCUAGAAGAAAUACAUAAACCUGGACGUAUAUGCACAUAUAAAUUUGCAUACCUUUUUGGAGAUUAAAAAGCCUGAUUUAAAGGAAUAUAAUUUUGGGAUAUUGGGGUUAAUGUCAAAGGAAAAAUAAAGAGCAUAACAUUGAAGGCAUAGCAA